CGCUUUGUCAACCUUUUUUAAGGUCGUGGCCAUUCUUGCGACAACGGAAUUUCAAUUAGGUUAAGGAGGACGACUUUUUCUGGUCAAUCUCCGGCGUAAGCCGUUGUAGUGUCGAACCGAUAGGAUUUCUUCUCUCUUGCAAUGGAAAAUCAGCAACUUAACGGAACUCAAACCGGAUUCAAUCAAUGUCAUUAAAGUUUUCCUUAACUUCAUCUCCCCCACUCCUUCCAUGAUUCUUCAGCUCCCACCUAGCUUCCAGUCGGUGAAACUACAUAUAUAAAUAGGAAGCCCGAGACUUCACGGCGGAAGAUAAUCGUCGAAAAGGAGUGCGGCGCAGUAGGAGGAAGAAAGCGGCGGCGAUGGAGGAGAGAAAGAGGAUGAAAGCGGUUAAGAAUAAAGAGAAAGCCUUUGAUGAUAAUGAGGAAAGGUAUUAAUGGUGAGUUGGACGGAGGUUUCUGCAUAAAGUAGGCCUUUCUGACCAUCUCUCUCUGUUCUUCUCUAUUGGUUUCAAUUGGUCGAUCUAUCAUAGGUAUGCUUUUCUUUUAUCGAUGUGUCACGUUAGGUAUUUCGUGAUGCUGGUAGCUUUUAUUUAAGGAAUUCCUUGAUUUAAAGGCUAUUUCAUUGGCUAGCUUGAAGCAUUUUUAUUUGCCGGUGGUUUCAGAGUUUACCGGCGUGUUUCUAAGUCGGUGGUGAAUGUGUCUUUUGCAUAUGUGUGUUGAGAGUUCUUUUUGGGUUCUUUAGGUUAUGCUUGAUAGUUGAUACUGUGGGACCUGAUUUGCAUGGUAUCAACAAUUCUGAGAAAGCUAUUGUUCUUCUGAAGAAGCCUCUUCUGAAGUCCUUCCCGUUAAUUAUUGCCAACGUCCAUUCUCUAUGAGAAUGAGUUGAUAUUAUAUAUCUAAUCAAUGGUUUAGUUUGUUUGCUUUUAGUUAGUUUAUUUUAAAAUUCUUCUUUUUAAGUUUCAUAUCAUGUAUAUGUAGUUCCUUAUUAUGUUUAACCAGGGAAGCUUGAAGAUCAUCAACCACCACCCCUACUUCAAAUAGAGUUACAAAACGUAGACAUAUUCUCAGUCGUCGAUAGGUGCUCAGGAGGUGGUGACGGUGAGAGAUCAGCUGGAGAAGAAGGAGCGAGAUCCAUGAUUAUCGAGUGAGAGGAGACAGAGCCAGAGAUUAACGACGCACAAGCAGAGACUUUGGACCUUGGAGUGAAGACCAGAUCUCCAAUCGAAAUCAAUGGUCAGAAUCGUCUCCGCUUAUGAACGACGGGGCCGAGAUUCACACGUGUAACUAACCACUGUUCCCGUAAGGAUCAAAAGCAAAAUCGAGCUUGCAAGAAAAUCCAUAGCAAUACCAGUGAGAGAGAGACCAGAACUCAGAGGUUUGUCCACUUUGGGUCAAGAUCAGAGAGAUAAUACAAUCAUUUUUUGCAAUGUGUAAUCUUUUUAUUCGUGUACAAACGUCAACUUUGCUUAAAUGAUUAUCUUUCCUAUGCCAUUAGUCGGGUUGUAUCAGUGAGGCCCAAUUUUUUUUUCUAAAAUUACAGGUGAAGCUAGACAAACAAUUUUUUUGGUUAAUGAUAUGACACUUACAAGGGAAGAAAUUGGUUUUUCAGCUUUUUCUAUUUAUUAUUGUAUCUACUAUCUUAUAUUACAAGGGGUCCUGAUCACUCCAACUAUGGAGACAAUGAAGCUGGCCAAAAAAUUCCCAAUUCCAUUUCCGGUUGCUAAGUUUUUACCAUUCACUGAAUAAUGUAGUUGUCUUGCAACUUUUUAAAUAACCAGUUCUGAUUUUAGGUAGGUAAAGUAUAAUUGGUAUACCUGGUAACUUUAGUAUUUAUGUUGUGAUUAUGAAACUUUUUGGUUAACCAGAUUUUUGGUUUCGUA